UUUAGAGUUUGAUCCCUGGCUCAGGAUGAACGCUGGCGGCGUGCCUAAUACAUGCAAGUCGAGCGAAUGGAUUAAGAGCUUGCUCUUAUGAAGUUAGCGGCGGACGGGUGAGUAACACGUGGGUAACCUGCCCAUAAGACUGGGAUAACUCCGGGAAACCGGGGCUAAUACCGGAUAACAUUUUGAACCGCAUGGUUCGAAAUUGAAAGGCGGCUUCGGCUGUCACUUAUGGAUGGACCCGCGUCGCAUUAGCUAGUUGGUGAGGUAACGGCUCACCAAGGCAACGAUGCGUAGCCGACCUGAGAGGGUGAUCGGCCACACUGGGACUGAGACACGGCCCAGACUCCUACGGGAGGCAGCAGUAGGGAAUCUUCCGCAAUGGACGAAAGUCUGACGGAGCAACGCCGCGUGAGUGAUGAAGGCUUUCGGGUCGUAAAACUCUGUUGUUAGGGAAGAACAAGUGCUAGUUGAAUAAGCUGGCACCUAGACGGUACCUAACCAGAAAGCCACG
rnacentral:rRNA from 1 species